UACAGAGGGGGCAAGCGUUGUUCGGAAUUACUGGGCGUAAAGGGCGCGUAGGCGGCCUUCUAAGUCGAACGUGAAAUCCCCGGGCUCAACCCGGGAACUGCGUCCGAUACUGGAAGGCUUGAAUCCGGGAGAGGGAUGCGGAAUUCCUGGUGUAGCGGUGAAAUGCGCAGAUAUCAGGAGGAACACCGGUGGCGAAGGCGGGUCUCUGGGCCGAUACUGACGCUGAGGAGCGAAAGCGUGGGGAGCAAACAGG
rnacentral:rRNA from 1 species